rnacentral:rRNA from 1 species
GUAACAAGGUUUCCGUAGGUGAACCUGCGGAAGGAUCAUUGUCGAAUCCUGCGAAGCAGACGACCAGUGAACCUGUUUAACCCACGGGCGUCGGGAAGUGGGAAACCACGGAUCGGCGCUCCACGCACGGCGACGGCCAUCGGUCGAUCGUCGGGCGGAGAACUUAAACCGGGCGCGGCAAAGCGCCAAGGAAAACGAAGAAAGGAUGGCCAUCCUCUCCGUGCCCCGUACGCGGUGAGCAUGGGAGGACCCGGUCGCCCGUAUGAAACUAAAACGACUCUCGGCAACGGAUAUCUCGGCUCUCGCAUCGAUGAAGAACGUAGCGAACUGCGAUACGUGGUGUGAAUUGCAGAAUCCCGUGAACCAUCGAGUCUUUGAACGCAAGUUGCGCCCGAAGCCAUCCGGCCGAGGGCACGUCUGCCUGGGCGUCACGCAUCGCGUCGCCCCCCAACCCCGUCACGUCCUGCGUGCACGGGUCGUGUCAGGGGGGCGGAAAAUGGCUUCCCGUCUCUUCGGUGCGGCUGGCCUAAAUUUGAGUCCCUUUCGACGGACGCGACGACCAGUGGUGGUUGACUGUCUCAACUCGAGUGCUGUCGCGCGAGGACCCGUCGGGAGACGAGACUGCUCCGACCCUACAGCAUACGUCGUCCUGCGACACGUGCAACGACCGCGACCCCAGGUCAGGCGGGACUACCCGCUGAGUUUAAGCAUAUCAAUA